AUCUGUAACAUAAGGAUAAUCAUAGUGCCCACAAUUAUUGGGAGGAUUUGUCGAGUUAAUCCUUGUUAUGCACCUAGUCUAGUGCCAAGUUAGCAUUAUUACUAUUGUCAUUAUUUUUAAUAAUCCACAUGAGUUUAUAACUUCAGAGUGUUGGAAUCAUAACCAGUUCACACAACACUUUUGUACAAGUUAUAAAAGGCAUUUUUCCUCAGGACAAUUUAUUAUUUGUCUUUCAAAGUAAUUAUAAUAAUAUAAUGAUUUUGUCAGAAUAAGACAAUUUUCUAUCAAAUUCCAGAAAAUUAUUGAAAUAAAUAUACAAAUCCAUAAUAUCUCCAAUGUUAACACCUCCCUUUAAGGUUGGAAUGUGCACAGUCUUGUGGUAUGUGGCAGUCUUGUGUGAUGAUAUAUGACCUUGCAGAGUGCAUUAAAAUCAUUCUUCUUUCCAACAAGAAAAAAAUAAAGGAAAUUAUUGAUCUAGA
rnacentral:antisense_RNA from 1 species